rnacentral:ncRNA from 1 species
AUAGAGUGUUGAGUCGAAAGGUUGCCGAAAACCUUAAAAAUCAAGGGUUUCGGGUUUUUUCGAGGAGCGAUGUCCAGUUCAUGAAACCGGACGGCAA